ACCGAUGUGUCUGUUGACCAGCAGCCUGAUUAUUGAUGCUCAUGUCAGCACAAAAAAACUUGAAAAACCGAUCAGAUGAAGGAUUAUCAUGUGUUAGCCCGGCGACAAAGCCUGAUAAAUCUUUAACAAUCAGGCUGUAGUGUCUCAUGGUUGCUUGAAUGAAUUCAGGGGAGAAUUACAUUUUUGUGGGUAAAUGAAGAGCAAAGAGGAGAUUCGGAUAACAAAAGUGACAGCAAAAUUAUGGAUAUUUUUGGUAAACGGGCAUUAGCGCCGUUAAGCCCAUUUUCAGGAGUACAAGAUUUCUGUAUAUUCGUAAGAUGGUGUAUCCAAUAAAAUGUAUGUAGCUUAUACAUGUUUCUGUAAAAUAGAAAUGAACUAAAGAUCAUAGAGAGAGAAUGGAAUGAGUAUUUUGCAAAGUUUUCAUGUUUAUGGUAGAACACACAACCCUGAUCCACUGUAUAGUCGUCAUCUCUACCCCUGCAUCAUUCAUGCGUUGGCAACUAAUGGACAAAGACUUCAGUUCUCUUAUUUUUCUGGUCGAAAUGAGAAAGGUGACAUGUUUUUAGUGACAAACCCACCCUUCUCGAUUACCAUUCAUGUUGAAAAGAAAAACUUAAAUAAUAAGGAACAUAUCAUCUCAGCAGCAGAAAGUCACUUGCCAGUAAAAGAACUUGUGCAUGUUUUCAAACAAAACACAAAAUAAAAAAAAAUAAAAAAAAACAAAGAAAAAAAAUAUGUUAGAAACCUGCACAGGGCAGCCAUCUGCUAUUUUCCACCCCCUUUUCAAAGGUUCAGCAAGUCACGAAGGAAUUAAAGUUCAGGGUCAGUUUAACUAAUGGAGGAAGUACACGGUGUUUAAUCUUCAAUUAGGGAUUUUCUCCGAAAUAAAAUUUUCGUUAUACAAUCUUUUACUUUCGAAUACUCAAUGCUGAGGUUCAAAAUGAAACAAACUCUACUCAUUAGGUGCUCGUUAUGUUAUCCAAAGCCGGAAACAUUGACUAGAAAAGCAUGAUGAUAGAUAUAUGUAGUUGUGUCUACAGUGAAAUAUAAUCAUUGACUGAAGUUUACUGUUUUUCAAAUUCGUGAUUUCGAAAUCACACUUAUGUACUGAACUGUACAAAAUUCCCUGAUUAGUUAACUUGGACGUUUUUUUUUUCAUUCACAGAUGCAGUAGAUUAUACGGGAUGCAGCUCUUGCGACAAGCCUGAUAACUAGGUGAGUUUUCAAUUUUUUGCCAGUACACUUAAAAAUUGUAUACGUAGUGAAUCAUUCUUGGAAGUAAAGGGUUUUCCUUAAGAUUUUACUUCUCCUUCAGAUGCUUGAAAUAGGCAGCCUAGAACACAUGUCUUGAAAGAAAAUGCCAACUAUUUUCGCUCCUCAAUGAUUACUUUUAGACGGAAUUGAUGCCGUAAGAAAUUGUUUUACUUCUCUCUUACUGCCCUUUUUAAACAAUAUAUUUUUUUUUUUUAAAGUUAAUGGUCAUUUUGUUUACUUGCUAAUUAUAAUAUUCAGUUAUUAGUGUUUGAAUGCGUUAGUGAGUUGUUAGUGUAACACUGAUUUUUUUGUUCCUAUUUUCGGAAACUUGAAUGAAUUUCAUGCGCUCAUAUAAACAAGCUCGUUCUUAGACUAACAUUGCAAAUAUGGCAAAUUUCACUUGAGCCUUUCUUUAGUAUGUUCAACUCAUAUUUUGUACUUGUAUCCCCUUGAAAUACCAUUACGUUAGUGAGUCGACUGAGUAAUGCCGAUUUUUAUUCCUAUUUUCGGAAACUUGAAUGAAUUUCAUGCCCUCAUGUAAACAAGCUCGUUCUUAGACUAACAGUGCAAAUAUGGCAAAUUUCACUUGAGCCUUUCUUUAGUAUGUUCAACUCAUAUUUUGUACUUGUAUCCCCUUGAAAUACCAUUACGUUAGUGAGUCGACAGAGUAAUGCCGAUUUUUAUUCCUAUUUUCGGAAACUUGAAUGAAUUUCAUGCGCUCAUGUAAACAAGCUCGUUCUUAGACUAACAGUGCAAGUAUGGCAAACUUCAUUUGAGCCUUUCUUUUGCACGUUCAACCCAUAUUUUGUACUUGUAUCCCAUUUACAUAUCAUUACGUUAGCAAGUCAAUGGGGAAUUACUGAUUUUUUGUUUUGUUUUCAAGAACUUAAAUAAAUUUUCUUUUUUCUACUACCUUA